UCAUGUGACUUGACUGCAGUCAUACAGUUGGGGACAGGGGGCAACACUGAUGAUCUCUUGCCCCAGGGGCUGUGCUUUCAACCACUAUUAUAUAGCUUCUGGUGACACCGAAGGCCGUGAACUCAGUCAUCGGGACUGCAGCUUCCUGCCGUGUGGUUCAUUUCACCUAUCCUGGCGGCCACAUGGCCUGUACAGCAGAGACAGCAAACUGACAAUCAGGGGGCAGAACUCACCCAACAGGUUCAUUUGAUCGUUUGUGCUUUUUUUGUAUCUUCACAAACCUGUUUUAGUCUGUCCAGGAAUUUGCAAUGUACUUUGACUCAUCAGGUGUUAGGUUUAGAAUCUCACCAAGAAGUCUGGCACCUAUAACUUUACACCACAUAUAAAAUGAUGCCAUGCACAGGCAUUCCCAGCCUGAUCUAUUCAGGCCCCUGAGUUUGCACUCAGCCAUGGUUAUCCACAGCUGUGACAAAAGCGACCAGCAGAAACCCAUUAUCACCCGUGCUUUCAUCACUGCCUAACGCUGAGCUCUUCCACUGCUCCAGGCAUUACGCCAAAUACCUUUGCAAAGAGGAGCUAAGAACAGUCAGGUGCAAUCGUUGUAUCAGUAUUUCACUUUGGGCAUGACAAAACUCAGGUUUAAGUAAGUUCAAUCAUCUACAGAAGACAACACAGCUAGUUAAGCGGCAGGGUCAAGUUCCAGACCCAAGUUUUUCACCAUCGCAUCACACUUCCAAGUCUGGGCUGAAAACAAGGGAUGAGGCAUCUACGUCUGAGAACGUUCCUCUCGAAGUAAUUCAGAGAAUCUGAUUUAAAGCAUGAAGGACGACCAACCUUUGGUAGCCUGUUAACAACCCGUGCAUAGGCUAUCCAGGCAGCGGGCACCACAAAGCAGAGUGCUGGCAUAGGACAUUCCCCACCAUCUUGGUCACCCCGUCCAGCACAAGCUGGCAGCGAUCCAGACCAAGAGCUACCGUGUGGAACUUUCCUCUUUGAGACAUAAAGACAUGCCACCCCUCCCCUCCCACGUGCCUACAAAGAGGUAAAACAGACACUACAUAUCCAGGAUCCUUGCUUAAAGCAUUUGGCCUCAAAGAACUCAGAGCAUUAGAAAGUGUUCUACUGUAUUAGCUGUGGAUACAAUACUGCUAUGUAACAAAGGGAUCAACACAAAACUCAGUGAUACGACAAAAUGCAUCUAUUACCACAUUUACGGAGACCACAGACCGGGGGGUGAGCUAUUUGUCUGACUUCCCAGGCCCGUUCACCAGCCCUGACUGGAGAGAAAGCAGCUAUCUGGGCACGUUCUCUUUACCGAAGAGGUCAGAUGCUACUGAAGACAAACAGGAACAUGUGACACCUUAUUAUGUCAAAGCUCAGAAUUUGCACCGUGUCAAUUAUAGCCACGCUCUCCUGGCCAGAAAAGUCUGUGGUCAUGCCUAAAACAAAUCAACGGGGCAGAAAUAUGUGUUUGCCCCACAGAUGAUGGAAUGGGGAAUACAAGGUGACCAACAAUCCAAGUUACCACGUCCAGUCAUUUGAAAACUAGAUAAAAGCAGUUUCUGAGUCACUGUCUCCUUUGUUGAUCCUCUAUCUUCACUGAUGCUAAUCUCACAGCUGGAAUCCCUUUCACCUCUCCUUCCCCUGGUAAGUCCCUGUUUCUCUUCUUCUAGAACCCGCUCAAAGUCACCUGGUAAGCCCCUGGUUCUCCCCUGCGAGAUCAAGCUCAAACGUCACCUGCUAAAUUCCUGGUCCUCCUCUGUGAGAUCAUGUCACCUGCUAAGUUCCUGAUCCUCCUCUACAAGAUCGUGCUCACACAUCACCCCACUUCACAAGCCUUUCCUAAACCCACCGUGUCAACCGCAUGUGGACGCCAACACCGUGACUUGCCAUUAAGGAGACGCACCCAGAUGCACAGUUUAAGUAUUUUAGGUUAUAAAACUCCCUUAUGAGGACCUGAGGUGUCUGUCAAAAUAUUUGGCUCUGGCAAAACGCGUGUUUCUUAGCGCAUUCUGUACCUGACGUGAUUGACUCCUAGGUCUUCUUCGUUCACUCAACAAGAGCUAAUAAGUAUUUUUUAAGUGACCUACCUGGCUGAAUCAAAAUUUCCAGAGAAACAGAACCAAGAGGAGAACAAAAGACAAACAGAAAGAGACGUGUUGUCAGGGACUGGUCUGCGCGAUCACAGGGGCUGAGGAGUCCCUGGCCUGCUGUCUGCAAGCUGGAGGCCCAGGAAGGAAGUGGGUGGGGAGGCUCCAGUUCAAGCUGGUUGGCCUGAGAGUUGGUGGCUGAUGGUGCAAGCCUGACCUGAGCCCGAAGGACCCCCAGGAGUACCGAUACCUAAGGGCAGGAGACGAAUGCUCCAGUUCAAGCAGAGAGCAAAUCUACCCCUCCUCCCUCUCUCUGUUCCAUGCAGACCCUCAAAAGAACAGAUGAUGCCCACCGGUUCACUCAGUCUCGAUUCGAACGCUCAGGUCGUCUGGAAACACCCUCACACAGAGGCCCAGACACCAUGUUUUACCAUCUGCCUGCGUACCCUUUGGCCCAGUCUUGUUGACACAGAAAACUUUCACACUGGUCCAACGGAACUGGCCAAAGUCCCUUCCGCCCCACUCACCUCUCUGUUUCCUCACCCGCUCCUUCUUCGCACACAGCCCAACCCCUCUCACUGUCCAGGAACUCAUCAGGCGAGCUCGCCAUGGAGUCUCUGUCCGUAUUCAUCUCUCUGGCUUGACCGUACCACUUAUGGAACCAAGUAUCAAUUACUUUAUGCCUGUACUCACACAUCAUCUUCUCUUUAAUAUCUGAAACCAGAUUUCCAAUUACAGCCUCCCCGAGACCACCUUCUUGUACUUCUUAAUGCAUCUAUUAUUUUGUAACGUAUGACAAGUAAAUUAUAUAAACUUGUUUGUCUCCCUCCUACAACGAAAAGCUCUGAAGCCGAGGGAAUUUUUGUCUGCUCCGGGAACCACCGUACGUUCAGGAAACAGAAAAUUUCUGCACAUAAACAUUUGAAGAAGUCAGGAACAAUUUUGGUGCGUGCUCUACUUGUGAAUAUUUUGCCCUUAAGUGGUUUUUUAAAAAAUCAUUGUAGGGGCACCUGGGUGGCUCAGUCACUUAAGUGUCCAACUUCGGCUCAGGUCAUGAUCUCACUGUUCUUGAGUUGGAGUCCCGCAUCAGG